AAGUCGUAACAAGGUUUCCGUAGGUGAACCUGCGGAAGGAUCAUUAUUGUAUAGUCUUACUACUAUGCUCCUGUGAAUUGUUAUAUAAGAUAUCUUGCAAGAGAUAUCUGUUUAUCACGUGUUUGCCUUGUCCCAGUAGGAGCUCUUUCCGAUUGGGUGGCGGACGCUUAUUUUACAUAUACUCUAUGUUUAAUUUUUAUGAUUUUUAACAAAAAAGUUAAUAAUACAACUUUCAACAGUGGAUCUCUCGGCUCUUA
rnacentral:misc_RNA from 1 species